rnacentral:lncRNA from 1 species
AUUGUCUCAAGGUGGGCAGGCCUGUGCAAACCUAUCCUCAAAGUCCAAGGAAGCUAAGAGGCCAAAGAAAGAGGCUGACAAAUCCAGUUUCUCAGAAAGAAUCAUUGAAUAGGGACUUACAAACAGAAGCCUUGUCUGCGUCUUAAGCAGUAGCAAGACAAGAUGGUAGAUCCCCAUGCCAUUAGCCCCAGACUUGGGGCGUAUAUGCCAUAGGGAAAGGGCAUAUGUGCUUCAGAAGGGAUGCAUAGAACAAUUGCUUAAGGGUAGGAUUUAUGAUAAGUACACUGUCUUAUACAAGGAACAACAGAUAAACUAGAAAUCUUGAAGAUUUCCAGAACUGGAGUUAAUUAGAAAUCAACAUGGCAGAUGGAAAAAAAAUAGAGCUCUAUAUGAAGAAUUUGAAUGUUCCCAUUCAGACUGU